GACGAACGCUGGCGGCGUGCUUAACACAUGCAAGUCGAACGGAAAGGCCCUGCUUUUGUGGGGUGCUCGAGUGGCGAACGGGUGAGUAACACGUGAGUAACCUGCCCUUGACUUUGGGAUAACUUCAGGAAACUGGGGCUAAUACCGGAUAGGAGCUCCUGCUGCAUGGUGGGGGUUGGAAAGUUUCGGCGGUUGGGGAUGGACUCGCGGCUUAUCAGCUUGUUGGUGGGGUAGUGGCUUACCAAGGCUUCGACGGGUAGCCGGCCUGAGAGGGUGACCGGCCACAUUGGGACUGAGAUACGGCCCAGACUCGUACGGGAGGCAACAGUGGGGAAUAUUACACAAUGGGCGGAAGCCUGAUGCAGCAACGCCGCGUGCGGGAUGACGGCCUUCGGGUUGUAAACCGCUUUCGCCUGUGACGAAGCGUGAGUGACGGUAAUGGGUAAAGAAGCACCGGCUAACUACGUG
rnacentral:rRNA from 1 species